UAAUGCCUUUGUUUGGCCAAGCUAUGUGCAAAUAUCACAAAUUAAAAAUUUGGUUAAGCAGUUAGGCUGGACCUAAUAUUUUAGAAAAACCUAAUUUUUUUUUGUGGACCCAUUUUCGAUAUUUACUCACAAAUGGAAUUCAAGGGGAACAACUUCGGUCUCAGCACUUUAAUUAUUCUUCUCGUUCCCACCUAAUUUCGCAAUUUAUUGUCCUUGACUUCUACCACGAGAAAAAAAUUAAGAAAAUGCAACGCUGCCCGUGCAGGGUUUUCUGAGCGGGAUGAAAAAAUCAGACAAAUAUCCAAGUUGUGAGUAAUUACUUUGUUGGAAGGAGGGAGCAGAGCAUAAGGAAAUUCUUAAAACUGUUAUGUAUAUAAAGGAAGAACCAUUUCUAGUUAUUUCACUUUUUGAUACUUGUCAACUAUCUUAGUAAAAAUACAGAACUCUAUAAAGAACCACAGAAAAAUCGACAGCAAUGACAAGCAUUGACAUUAACAACUUACAAAAUACCUUUCAACAAGCUAUGAAUAUGAGCGGCUCCCCAGGCGCUGU
rnacentral:sRNA from 2 species